UACGGAGGGGACUAGCGUUGUUCGGAAUUACUGGGCGUAAAGCGCACGUAGUCGGCUUUGCAAGUCGGGUGUGAAAUCCCCGGGCUCAACCUGGGAACUGCAUCCGAGACUGCAUUGCUAGAGUAUGGGAGAGGGAAGCGGAAUUUCUGGUGUAGCAGUGAAAUGCGUAGAUAUCAGAAGGAACAUCAGUGGCGAAGGCGGCUUCCUGGACCAAUACUGACGAUCAGGUGCGAAAGCGUGGGGGAGCAAACAGG
rnacentral:rRNA from 1 species